CACGCGCGCUACACUGACCGGAUCAGCGUGUGCUCUCCUUGGCCGACAGGUCCGGGAAACCCGUUGAACCCCGGUCGUGCUAGGGAUAGGGAAUUGCAAUUAUUUCCCUUGAACGAGGAAUUCCCAGUAAGCGCGAGUCAUUAGCUCGCGUUGAUUACGUCCCUGCCCUUUGUACACACCGCCCGUCGCUACUACCGAUUGAAUGGUUUAGUGAGGUCCUCCGAUUGGACCCGGUCCGGGCGGCGACGUCCGAGCCGGCGUCCGAGAAGACGAUCUAACUUGAUCAUUUAGAGGAAGUAAAAGUCGUAACAAGGUUUCCGUAGGUGAACCUGCGGAAGGUUCAUUA
rnacentral:ncRNA from 1 species